rnacentral:rRNA from 1 species
CCCCAAAGUGGGGAAUAACUGUUCGAAAAGGGCAGCUAAUUCCGCAUGUGGUCCGUUCUUCGGUGGGCGGACGAAAGGCUUAGGCCGCUUUGGGAGGGGCCCCGCGUCCGAUUAGCUAGUUGGUAGGGUAAGGGCCUACCAAGGCGAUGAUCGGGUAGCUGGUCUGAGAGGAUGAUCAGCCACACUGGCACUGAGACACGGGCCAGACUCCUACGGGAGGCAGCAGGGAGGAAUAUUGGACAAUGGGGGAAACCCUGAUCCAGCGACGCCGCGUGGGCGAUGAAGGUCUUCGGAUCGUAAAGCCCUUUUCUGGGGGAAGAGAGAGGACGGUACCCCAGGAAUAAGUCUCGGCUAACUACGUGCCAGCAGCCGCGGUAAAACGUAGGAGGCGAGCGUUAUCCGGAUUUACUGGGCGUAAAGCGCGUGCAGGCGGUGGUGCGAGUUGGGCGUGAAAUCUCCCGGCUCAACUGGGAGGGGUCGUCCAAUACUGCAUCACUAGAGGGCAGGAGAGGGAAGUGGAAUUCCCGGUGUAGCGGUAAUAUGCGCAGAUAUCGGGAGGAACACCAGUGGCGAAGGCGGCUUUCUGUCCUGGUCCUGACGCUAAGACGCGAAAGCUAGGGGAGCGAACGCGAUUAGAUACCCCGGUAGUCCUAGCUGUAAACGAUGGAUACUAGGUGUUGGUGGUAUUGACCCCACCAGUGCCGAAGCUAACGCGUUAAGU